UUAUUUAUUGGUCAAGCCGUAAAGCCUUGUUGUCUCUAAACUCUCUCCGGCCCGUCUUUCCCCUCUCCCUCCUCCAUAUCUCUCUGCCUCUCUCUCUAAAAUGGAAGCAACUAAACCAUCCAUGAAGCUUUGUGGCGCAAAACUAAAGCAGGCGACGCUGCUAUGGCUCGAGGGUUUCAUCGAGGCCUGUUGUCUCCACCGGGUUGUCAUUCUCUGCCUCAGGUCGAGAAAGCUUUUGAUCAGGACGGGGCAAUGUUUUCUACUGAAUGGUUUUAUCUUUUUAGGAAGUUAUUGGGCCUUCAGUUCCCAAUUCGAACGCAAUAUUAACAUUAUAUUUGUCCUGAACUCAGUUGUCAUCCCAAUGCUUCAAUGGAUAUUACCUGAUCAGUGCUCGCACGUUAAUUCUCAACUACCUUGCUCCUUUGAUGGCAUUUUAAAAUUUUACUCCAUCCUACGUCGUGGAGUCGUACAACUUUUUUAUAUCUUUUGGUUCUACCCAAUGUAUGUGUUCAGCAUUAUCUUAAGCAAUAUAUGGUACAAUGACAUUGCAAAGUUUGGUUUUGCUGCAAUGGGGAGAUCUGGACCUUCAAGAGUGGAACCUACAAGUCCAAGUGAGACAUCAACCAUACAUAAUACAGUUCAUGCAGAAAGACUUGCUGGCCUGGGAGGGGUCAUGGUUGGAAUAGGAGAGCAGGUGUAUUCAAUUCUUCUUUUGAGCUUCUUCUUCCUAGAGGGUUUAUACCUUAUGUGGGGAAAGUACUCAAUUUCCUACUCCUGUCCUGGAUGUAUGCCUACUACUGUUUCGAAUACAAAUGGAACUUUUCUGAAGUGGCUCUGGACAAAAGGCUGUAUUACUUCGAAUCUAACUGGGCAUUUUUCGCUGGUUUUGGUAAUACCUUUUCAGCGGAGUGAAUUGCUUAAUUUAAUUUUGUCAAGUACCUACUAGUUUCACAUGGAAAAAUUAACUGUCUGAAUGCACUGGCUUCUCUUUAGUUUUUUACAUAUUCUAUAACCUGGAAACUGAAGGUUUCAGUGACUGGAGGGCCUCUUUUGAGUGGGGGAAGGAGAGUCCUAAGAUUAAUUUGCUUUAAAACUUAAAAAAUAAUGUCUAGUCGAUUACAAAAACAAAAUAUUUAUGCAUAGAAACUAUGAUCUUGGUUAAGCUUUCUUUAUUUCUCUCUUCAUAAGUUGGAGGAACAGUGGUUGAACAGAAUAGCAUAUUCCAGGUCUGUUAUGGGCGAUGAGAGGGGAAGGAAAAUCCUAAGAUUAAUAUUAAGACUUCAAAAAUAAUUUUUAAUGGACUACGAAGCAAAUUGUAUUUAUGCAUAGAAACUAUGAUCUUGUUAAUGCUCAGUUUUUGUUAUUUGCAGCCUAACUUAGAUGAUAGGAAUGCAUUAUUUCCAUUUGUUUUCAAUUCAUAUACUUGGGACAUUUGCUGAUCUGUGCAACACUACUAUUUUCUUUCAUGGUUAUCCAGGAAGCCCUUGUGUAUUCGCUAUAUUCUUUUUCUCACCUCUUGUGAGCUAUGGGGUUAUGGCUAUACUCUUUCCACUGUUUGUUCUAUCUGCAACAGGGUCAAGAGCUGAGCAGGAUAUUUCUUUU